GACGAACGCUGGCGGCGUGCUUAACACAUGCAAGUCGAACGGAAAGGCCCUGCUUUUGUGUGUUGCUCGAGUGGCGAACGGGUGAGUAACACGUGAGUAACCUGCCCCUGACUUUGGGAUAACUUUAGGAAACUGGGGCUCAUACCGGAUAGGAUCUCCUGCUCCAUGUUGGGGGUUGGAAAGUUUCGGCGGUUGGGGAUGGACUCGCUGCUUACCAGCUUGUUGGUGUGGUAGUGGCUUACCAAGCCUUUGACGGGUAGCCGGCCUGGGAGGGUGAACGGCGACAAUAGGACUGAGGUACGGCGCAGACGCCUACGGGAGGCAGCAGUGGGGAAUAUUGCAGAGUGGGCGGGAGCGUGAGGCAGCAACGCCGGGUGCGGGAUGACGGCCUUCGGGGUGUAAACAGCUUUCGCAGGUGACGAAGCGUGAGUGACGGUAAUGGGUAAAGAAGCACCGGCUAACUACGUG
rnacentral:rRNA from 1 species